rnacentral:tRNA from 1 species
GGGCCUAUAAGCUAAUGGACAGACUAUCUGGCUUCGGACCAGAAUAUCGGGGUUCGAAUCCCUGUAGGCCCG